rnacentral:sRNA from 1 species
GCUUGAACAUGGUGAGUACCUGUAGUCCCAGCUACAGGGAGGCUGAGGCAGGAGGAUUGCUUGAGCCUGGGAGUUUGCACUCAGCCCACAAAAAAAGUGAGAUUCUGUCUCUC